GACUAGCAGUAGGUGUUUGAGGGUCACCAUAGGUCCUUAGACUAGCAGCAGGUGUUUGAGGGUCACCACAUGUCUUUAGACUAGCAGCAGGUGUUUGAGGGUCACCACAUGUCUUUAGACUAGCAGCAGGUGUUUGAGGGACACCAUAGGUCCUUAGACUAGCAGCAGGUGUUUGAGGGUCACCAUAGGUCCUUAGACUAGCAGCAGGUGUUUGAGGGACACCACAGGUCCUUAGACUAGCAGCAGGUGUUUGAGGGAUACCACAUGUCCUUAGACUAGCAGUAGGUGUUGGAGGGAUACCACAGGUCCUUAGACUAGCAGCAGGUGUUUGAGGGUCACCACAGGUCCUUAGACUAGCAGUAGGUGUUUGAGGGUCACCAUAGGUCCUUAGACUAGCAGCAGGUGUUUGAGGGU